UACGGGGGGGGGCAAGCGUUGUUCGGAAUUACUGGGCGUAAAGGGCUCGUAGGUGGCCAACUAAGUCAUACGUGAAAUCCCUCGGCUUAACCGGGGAACUGCGCCUGAUACUGGUUGGCUUGAGUUUGGGAGAGGGAUGUGGAAUUCCAGGUGUAGCGGUGAAAUGCGUAGAUAUCUGGAGGAACACCGGUGGCGAAGGCGGCAUCCUGGACAGGUAUUGACGCUGAGGCGCGAAAGCUAGGGGAGCAAACGGG
rnacentral:rRNA from 1 species